rnacentral:misc_RNA from 1 species
GUUGGGUUCAACGCCUUGCUUCAACACAUUCUCAUAAAGCAAAUUUGCUUCUUCGAUCAUAUUUCUGUCAAGAUAGGACUCCAUCAUCACAUUUGAAACUCUGAUGUCAAAGAAUUUACAAUGUGACUCCAAUUCUCUAAAACGUUUCUCAAGGGCUUCCGAGUCCCCCAGUUUGGAUAGAGCCAAAAGCACGAUGAGAUAGCUAAACUUGCUGGGAGUUGGGAAAACUGACUUUAAU